rnacentral:rRNA from 2 species
UUUUUACGGGCCUUUACCUGCAGUCGAACGACUCUGGUAUGGAUUGGUGCUUGCAUCAUGAUUUCAUUUGAGUGACUGGCGAACUGGUGAGUAACACGUGGGAAACCUGCCCAGAAGCGGGGGAUAACACCUGGAAACAGAUGCUAAUACCGCAUAACAACUUGGACCGCAUGGUCCGAGCUUGAAAGAUGGCUUCGGCUAUCACUUUUGGAUGGUCCCGCGGCGUAUUAGCUAGAUGGUGGGGUAACGGCUCACCAUGGCAAUGAUACGUAGCCGACCUGAGAGGGUAAUCGGCCACAUUGGGACUGAGACACGGCCCAAACUCCUACGGGAGGCAGCAGUAGGGAAUCUUCCACAAUGGACGAAAGUCUGAUGGAGCAACGCCGCGUGAGUGAAGAAGGGUUUCGGCUCGUAAAACUCUGUUGUUAAAGAAGAACAUAUCUGAGAGUAACUGUUCAGGUAUUGACGGUAUUUAACCAGAAAGCCACGGCUAACUACGUGCCAGCAGCCGCGGUAAUACGUAGGUGGCAAGCGUUGUCCGGAUUUAUUGGGCGUAAAGCGAGCGCAGGCGGUUUUUUAAGUCUGAUGUGAAAGCCUUCGGCUCAACCGAAGAAGUGCAUCGGAAACUGGGGAAACUUGAGUGCAGAAGAGGACAGUGGAACUCCAUGUGUAGCGGUGAAAUGCGUAGAUAUAUGGAAAGAACACCAGUGGCGAAGGCGGCUGUCUGGUCUGUAACUGACGCUGAGGCCUCGAAAGUAUGGGUAGCAAACAGGAUUAGAUACCCUGGUAGUCCAUACCGUAAACGAUGAAUGCUAAGUGUUGGAGGGUUUCCGCCCUUCAGUGCUGCAGCUAACGCAUUAAGCAUUCCGCCUGGGGAGUACGGCCGCAAGGCUGAAACUCAAAGGAAUUGACGGGGGCCCGCACAAGCGGUGGAGCAUGUGGUUUAAUUCGAAGCUACGCGAAGAACCUUACCAGGUCUUGACAUACUAUGCAAAUCUAAGAGAUUAGACGUUCCCUUCGGGGACAUGGAUACAGGUGGUGCAUGGUUGUCGUCAGCUCGUGUCGUGAGAUGUUGGGUUAAGUCCCGCAACGAGCGCAACCCUUAUUAUCAGUUGCCAGCAUUAAGUUGGGCACUCUGGUGAGACUGCCGGUGACAAACCGGAGGAAGGUGGGGAUGACGUCAAAUCAUCAUGCCCCUUAUGACCUGGGCUACACACGUGCUACAAUGGAUGGUACAACGAGUUGCGAACUCGCGAGAGUAAGCUAAUCUCUUAAAGCCAUUCUCAGUUCGGAUUGUAGGCUGCAACUCGCCUACAUGAAGUCGGAAUCGCUAGUAAUCGCGGAUCAGCAUGCCGCGGUGAAUACGUUCCCGGGCCUUGUACACACCGCCCGUCACACCAUGAGAGUUUGUAACACCCAAAGUCGGUGGGGUAACCUUUUAGGAACCAGCCCGCCUAAAGGUGGGACAGAUGAAUUAGGGGUGAAAUCGGAAUAAGAUUACAUC